rnacentral:rRNA from 1 species
GACGAACGCUGGCGGCGUGCUUAACACAUGCAAGUCGAACGGAAAGGCCCUGCUUUUGUGGGGUGCUCGAGUGGCGAACGGGUGAGUAACACGUGAGUAACCUGCCCUUGACUUUGGGAUAACUUCAGGAAACUGGGGCUAAUACCGGAUAGGAGCUCCUGCUGCAUGGUGGGGGUUGGAAAGUUUCGGCGGUUGGGGAUGGACUCGCGGCUUAUCAGCUUGUUGGUGGGGUAGUGGCUUACCAAGGCUUUGACGGGUAGCCGGCCUGAGGGGGUGACCGGCCACAUUGGGACUGAGAUACGGCCCAGACUCCUACGGGAGGCAGCAGUGGGGAAUAUUGCACAAUGGGCGGAAGCAGGAUGCAGCAACGCCGCGUGCGGGAGGACGGCCUUCGGGUUGUAAACCGCUUUCGCCUGUGACGAAGCGUGAGUGACGGUAAUGGGUAAAGAAGCACCGGCUAACUACGU